GUGUCAGCAGCCGCGGUAAUACGUAGGGGGCGAGCGUUGUCCGGAUUUACUGGGCGUAAAGAGCGCGUAGGCGGUUUGGCAAGUUGGCUGUGAAAUGCCUGGGCUUAACCUGGGUCUGUCGGCCGAGACUGCUGGACUAGAGGGCGGUAGAGGAAGGUGGAAUUCCGGGUGUAGUGGUGAAAUGCUUAGAGAUCCGGAGGAACACCGGUGGCGAAGGCGGCCUUCUGGGCCGUUCCUGACGCUGAGGCGCGAAAGCGUGGGUAGCGAACUGAAUUAGAUACUCAGGUAGUCCACGCCCUAAACGAUGGACGCUAGGUGUAGGGGGUAUCGACUCCUCCUGUGCCGAAGCUAACGCAUUAAGCGUCCCGCCUGGGGAGUACGGCCGCAAGGCUAAA
rnacentral:rRNA from 1 species